CCACCGGGAUGUUCAUAACCCUUUGUUGUCCGACUCUGUUGCCUCCGGGGCGACCCUGCCUUCGGGCGGGGGCUCCGGGUGGACACUUCAAACUCUUGCGUAACUUUGCAGUCUGAGUAAACUUAAUUAAUAAAUUAAAACUUUUAACAACGGAUCUCUUGGUUCUGGCAUCGAUGAAGAACGCAGCGAAAUGCGAUAAGUAAUGUGAAUUGCAGAAUUCAGUGAAUCAUCGAAUCUUUGAACGCACAUUGCGCCCCCUGGUAUUCCGGGGGGCAUGCCUGUUCGAGCGUCAUUUCACCACUCAAGCCUCGCUUGGUAUUGGGCAACGCGGUCCGCCGCGUGCCUCAAAUCGACCGGCUGGGUCUUCUGUCCCCUAAGCGUUGUGGAAACUAUUCGCUAAAGGGUGUUCGGGAGGCUACGCCGUAAAACAACCCCAUUUCUAAGGUUGACCUCGGAUCAGGUAGGGAUACCCGC
rnacentral:rRNA from 1 species